rnacentral:rRNA from 1 species
UACGUAGGGUGCAAGCGUUGUCCGGAAUUAUUGGGCGUAAAGAGCUUGUAGGCGGUUUGUCGCGUCUGCUGUGAAAUUUCGGGGCUCAACCCGAACCUUGCAGUGGGUACGGGCAGACUAGAGUGUGGUAGGGGAGACUGGAAUUCCUGGUGUAGCGGUGGAAUGCGCAGAUAUCAGGAGGAACACCGAUGGCGAAGGCAGAUCUCUGGGCCGUAACUGACGCUGAGGAGCGAAAGCGUGGGGAGCGAACAGG